rnacentral:rRNA from 1 species
GACGAACGCUGGCGGCGUGCUUAACACAUGCAAGUCGAACGGAAAGGCCCUGCUUUUGUGGGGUGCUCGAGUGGCGAACGGGUGAGUAACACGUGAGUAACCUGCCCUUGACUUUGGGAUAACUUCAGGAAACUGGGGCUAAUACCGGAUAGGAGCUCCUGCUGCCUGGGGGGGGUUGGAAAGUUUGGGCGGGUGGGGAUGGACUCGCGGCUUAGCAGUUUGUUGGUGGGGAAGUGGCUUACCAAGGCUUUGACGGGUAGCCGGCCUGGGAGGGUGACCGGCCCCAGAGGCCUACGGGUGGGACCAGGGCUCCAUCUUGGGCAAGCGGUGGGAAUCUUGCACAAUGGGCGGAAGCCUGAUGCAGCAACGCCGCGUGCGGGAUGACGGCCUUCGGGUUGUAAACCGCUUUCGCCUGUGACGAAGCGUGAGUGACGGUAAUGGGUAAAGAAGCACCGGCUAACUACGUG